UACGGAGGAUGCGAGCGUUAUCCGGAUUUAUUGGGUUUAAAGGGCGCGUAGGCGGCUUAGUAAGUCAGCGGUGAAAUUUUGCAGCUUAACUGUAACAGUGCCGUUGAUACUGCCAGGCUAGGAUUUGGUUGCUGUGGGUGGAAUGUGUGGUGUAGCGGUGAAAUGCUUAGAUAUCACACAGAAUAUCGAUUGCGAAGGCAGCUCACAAAGCCAAGAUUGACGCUGAGGCACGAAAGUGUGGGGAUCAAACA
rnacentral:rRNA from 1 species